rnacentral:rRNA from 1 species
GAACGCUGGCGGAAUGCUUUACACAUGCAAGUCGAACGGCAGCACGGACUUCGGUCUGGUGGCGAGUGGCGAACGGGUGAGUAACAUAUCGGAACGUAUCCAAUAAUGGGGGAUAACUAAUCGAAAGGUUGGCUAAUACCGCAUACGCCCUACGGGGGAAAGCUAGGGAUCUUCGGACCUGGCGUUAAUGGAGCGGCCGAUAUCUGAUUAGCUAGUUGGUGGGGUAAAGGCCCACCAAGGCGACGAUCAGUAGCUGGUCUGAGAGGACGACCAGCCACACUGGAACUGAGACACGGUCCAGACUCCUACGGGAGGCAGCAGUGGGGAAUUUUGGACAAUGGGCGCAAGCCUGAUCCAGCCAUUCCGCGUGAGUGAAGAAGGC